UGGACAAGUUGUCAGUGUGCCGAGUAAUGG
rnacentral:piRNA from 1 species